rnacentral:lncRNA from 1 species
UCCUGGUAUCUAUGAUGAGUUUAUUUUUUAUCAAAAUAACAUACGAUGUUAUAAUAAGUGACUUCCUUUAUGAUAAGUUAAAAUUAAAAAAAAUAUAGCUGUACCUUUUCACAUCCUGAACUAGUGUUAUAGUAAAAGUGACAAUCAUUUCCAAAAGCAGACAUCAGUCCUUAAUGCAUGUAUUAAAUGAUAGCAUUCGAAUACAUAUACAUAUAAAUAAGUAGUUAGACAGAUAACCACAUAAACGCUUAUAAAUUCUUACACGAAACUGUGCCGAUCGAUAAGUCGAACUCUACAUUGUAAAUCCCCGGAUAUAAAAAAAAUUAUGUAAGUGUGUAUAUUUUUGUCACUAUCAACUACACUACCUUUUGGAAACAAUAAGAAUUCAAGUUUCGCUUUCAAUUUAAAAAUCAAUUAAUUCAAAGUUGAAAAGUGUAUCAAAAAGGUUCAUCUUAUUUUCGAGAGAGAUUGAUGCUGCUAAUGCAUACGGAUUUGGUCUACCCUGGGACUUUUACAUUAAUAUAUUAUAUCGUAGGUCUACUUAAUGGCUUCCACCCAACAUAAAAAAAAUCUUUUAAAACACAAUACCUGUAGCUAAAUCAGGUAUUAUGCGUUCUUAUCAACAAAAUUAGAAGCAACGAGGACAGCUUCUAGAGAUUUUCUUGAAAUUCGUCAAAAAGGCAAUUUCUAAUGCACAAACGAUUGACUUCAUGACCAGAUAUAUUCGUCUG